AUGAACGCUGGCGGCGUGCCUCAUACAUGCAAGUCGAGCGAACAGAUGAGGAGCUUGCUCCUCUGACGUUAGCGGCGGACGGGUGAGUAACACGUGGAUAACCUACCUAUAAGACUGGGAUAACUUCGGGAAACCGGAGCUAAUACCGGAUAAUAUAUUGAACCGCAUGGUUCAAUAGUGAAAGACGGUUUUGCUGUCACUUAUAGAUGGAUCCGCGCCGCAUUAGCUAGUUGGUAAGGUAACGGCUUACCAAGGCGACGAUGCGUAGCCGACCUGAGAGGGUGAUCGGCCACACUGGAACUGAGACACGGUCCAGACUCCUACGGGAGGCAGCAGUAGGGAAUCUUCCGCAAUGGGCGAAAGCCUGACGGAGCAACGCCGCGUGAGUGAUGAAGGUCUUCGGAUCGUAAAACUCUGUUAUUAGGGAAGAACAAAUGUGUAAGUAACUAUGCACGUCUUGACGGUACCUAAUCAGAAAGCCACGGCUAACUACGUG
rnacentral:rRNA from 1 species